rnacentral:rRNA from 1 species
AUUGAACGCUGGCGGCAGGCCUAACACAUGCAAGUCGAGCGGAGCGGCGGACGGGUGCGUAAUGCCUAGGAAUCUGCCUGGUAGUGGGGGAUAACGUCCGGAAACGGGCGCUAAUACCGAAUACUAUCAGAUGAGCCUAGGUCGGCUUCGCUAGUUGGUGGGGUAAAGGCCUAACAAGGCGAAGAUACGUAACGGGUCUGAGAGGAUGAGCAGUCCCACGGGAACUGAGACACGGUCCAGAUUCCUACGGGAGGCAGCAGUGGUGAAUAGUGGACAAUGGGCGAAAGCCUGAUCCAGCCAUGCCGCGUGUGUGAAGAAGGUCUUCGGAUUGUAAAGCACUUUAAGUUGGGAGGCGUUAUCAACAGAAUAAGCACCGGCUAACUUCGUGCCAGCAGCCGCGGUAAUAC